rnacentral:rRNA from 1 species
UACGGGGGGGGGCAAGCGUUGUUCGGAAUUACUGGGCGUAAAGGGCUCGUAGGCGGCCAACUAAGUCAGACGUGAAAUCCCUCGGCUUAACCGGGGAACUGCAUCUGAUACUGGAUGGCUUGAGUUCGGGAGAGGGAUGCGGAAUUCCAGGUGUAGCGGUGAAAUGCGUAGAUAUCUGGAGGAACACCGGUGGCGAAGGCGGCAUCCUGGACCUGUUCUGACACUGAGGAGCGAAAGCGUGGGGAGCGAUCCGG